rnacentral:lncRNA from 1 species
UCUUGAUCCGAGCAGUGGCAUUUUUCCUCUAGCCACAACUCACUAUUCACUAAUUCUUCCCCGUCAAGCCUACUCAAAUCUUUUCCCGAACUUCAUAAUCGUCAUGAACGGUCAGAUAGCCCAAAUUCAGGUUCCGAACAAGGUUAUCAAAAGUAACACUAUUACAAUGUCAAAUAAUUAAAAAAUAUUACUCUUUGAAGACUUUGAGUCUCCAGCAUGCAAUAGUCCACGUGGCAAUUUCUAAUCCACAAUUGCACAAAACUCUUGAAAGCAUAUGUCCAGACUUUUUAGAGAUUUGUACCACGUUCAACAAUUUCUACAAGAACCCAAUUUUUUCCUCGCUUACACUCUUCCUAUCCUUCUGGGUUUUGUGUGUGUGAAAGAGGACCGAAAUUUUAUUAAUAACUUUAUUGCUGACUUGGGAGUAUUUUAUUAUUUUUUAUUUUUUUCCCCCUUGAAUAGAAUCAUUGUGUUAAGUUCACCUCUCAUGGAUUUUGGGGUUAAAAGGUAUGUGUGUCUCCCUUUAUUGAAUUAUUUAAUGGGAUUUAUCUCUUGUUUGAAGAAUUGUGUUUAUAUAUUUAGUUUUAGUUUUCCACUUUCUCCUAUAUGAUUUGAUGAAGUUGGAGAAAUUUUUAUAUAUACGCUUAAUCACUUUAUCAUGUAUCUGAAACUUGUGAAUACAUCUUGCUGUUUGAAGUCAUAGAAAUGGUCUAGCUGGCUAGGCAAAACAAUAGAAUAAUUUGAGUAUUUUGUGCAUGUUCUUGGAAGACAUUCGAGAUAAUAGGAUUUAUAGGUUGUAUAUUAAGCUCAUAGGGUCGUGUCAUGAAAUUUUGGGAGGGGUUUUGAAGAUACAGUAAGGUGUAAUUCAAAGGUUUGCAGAAAUUAAAUUCGGCUCUAUGCUAGGAAGAUAUUUAUGAUUGUAGGAGAUUUAUGGAGAAGGAGAUGAUUUUUAUAUGAUGGGUACUGGAAAUAGAGAUAUUUCUAUUGGAUGGAUAAAGAUUAUUAAGGAUAUGUAUUGUAAGAUGUAGUGGCAAUACUAGUAGCAAAUUUCCUGGUACUAUUUGCCUGCUUUUACUUCCUUAUUGCUUUAUGUGAGAUGAGAUUGUUAUACAUACAAAAUAACGCCCCACGGUGUUUGUUAUGUGGUGACAACAUAGUUCUCGUGAUAAGAGUAUGGAAGGGGGUGAAUAGUCCUCGUAAUGAGAGUAUGGAAGGGGGUGAUUUUUGAAAUAGUACUUUGGAAGUUAAAAGUUUUAAAUUUAGUGAUCUAUUGCGUUGUACGGACACUUCAACUAGGUGAUGUGUUCGUGCAUAACGCAUGUUGGAUACUCACACUACUUAAACACUCUACUAUGAUAAUUUUUCUUUCUAUUAUAUCCAGCUCAUCAAAUGUUCCCAAAUGUCCUUUCUUUAUUAAAAACAUAUAGCCUCAUAUAAAGAAUAAUAAUUCAUCCUUUCCAUUUGGCUUUAAAUCUCUUGAAAGCUUGGAUUUGAAUUGACAACUUCAGUUGCCCUAGUUGUUAUUAAAUAAUAAUAGCAUAUAUUUUUAAAAGAUUCGGCCUUUGAAAACUCCAGAAUUUGAAAUAUUAUAUAUUUUUAAUUCAAAAUUAUUAUUAAAUAAUAAAUAAAUACUCAUAUUUAAAAGAUUUUAGCAAGAAAAAUUAAUAAAAGGUACAAAAUUAAUUUAUACCAUAUAAAUUUUAUUUUAUUUAUUUAAUUUUUUUUUUCUUUGAAAAUUAAAUCAGUGUGUCGUGUUGAUGCAUCAUAGGUGAUCUAAGAUGAAAUACAUGGAAUGUCCUUUUAAUUGGAAGAAAUGGAUAGGUGCUACGUCUAGGGGUGUCAAUGCGAGCCGGCUCGGGCUCGCCAUGAGCCGAGUUCGUGCUCAUUUUGAAACGAGCCGAGCUCUGCUCGUCCAAAAAUGGGCAGGCCGAGCCCGGCUCGCUAGCACAUGUUUUUUUUUUGUGUGGAAACAAAUAGGUAAAUUGGAAAAUACAAAAGUAAUUUUAAUUUUUAAAUUGUGAAUUUUUUAUAGAAAAAAUUUAUAUAUAUAAAAAACUAGGUAAAAAAUUUAAACUCUCCUCUUUUAUCCGGGCUUGGGACCGGUUACUUAAAUUUAGAGUAGGAGGAGUUAAAAAUUGUGUUGUUUGUUUGUUUGUUCGUGUACAAUUUUUUAAAGAAAAUUUAAAACAGUAUUAAAAAUUAUUUUUUCAAGCAACACUGCGCGUCCGCUUGCAUAUAUUCUUUGAAAUAAAUCCCUUCUAAAAAUUGAAAGGGUAAUCGAAUGCCCUUUCAAUUGUCAGAAGUCUUCACUUCAAAAAUUAUAUAGAAGUCUUUCACUUCAAAAGUUAUAUAUAAUCUUCGAAGUGAAAAACUUCUGACAAUUGAAAGGGCAAUUAUUCGAUUACCCUUUUAAUUUUCAAAAAGAAUUUACUUCGAAAAUUAUAUGCAAAGGUACGCACAGCGUUGUUCGAGAAAAGAAUUUAAAAUGUAGACAUAUAGUAUUAAUAGUACUAAGUACUAACAAAAAUUUAACUUAAUUGGUGGAAAGAAUUUUUUUUUUUUUUUUUAACUAAAAGAGAAAAAAAAUAAAAAUGAAAUCUUUAUUUUUUUUAUUUUUCUUUUUAAAAUAGAUAAAAUAUAAACCCUCCUCUUUUAUCCGGGUUUGGGACCGGUUACUUAAAUUUUCAGUAGGUUGAGUUAAAAAUUGUACACGAACAAUUUAUUGUAGCGUGUACAAUUUUUUAAAGAAAAUUAAAAGUAACGAUAAGAAAAGAAAAGUUUCAUUAAUAUAAUUAAAUCAAAUAUCGCUUACUUGACGACAUAUAAUUUCGACAUAUUUAUCUUGUAGUUAAAAAUGAGCGUCUUGCCAAUCCUUAACGCACAUUAACGCUUCUAAAAUAUCUUUUUUCAGUCAGCUCCUAACUUUGCUCAAAACUCUUUUACCUGCACUAAAUGCAAACUUCGAAGCAACAGUGCUAAUUGGAGGUGUCAGCAGAUCUUUUGCAAUCGCAAAUAUAAUUGGCCUACGUUGUUCAUACCUUGGCCAGAAUUCAAUUACUUCGUCUGAACUUUUUUAAUUGUUUUAUUUGUUGGCAUAUUCUGGUUGAAAUAAUCAAUUAAUUUAGCAGGCAAUGAAUUAUGGCUUGAGCCCGAAGAUGUUUGAUGAGAAUGAGAUACAGAUGGUGACGACAUGGCAGUGGCAGUAGAUGAACACAUUGUAGAUAAACCAUAUCUAUAC